UACAGAGGGGGCAAGCGUUAUUCGGAAUUAUUGGGCGUAAAGAGCGUGUAGGCGGCCAGGUAGGUCUGCUGUGAAAACUCGAGGCUUAACCUCGAGCUGUCGGCGGAAACCAUCUGGCUAGAGUCCGGAAGAGGAGAAUGGAAUUCCCGGUGUAGCGGUGAAAUGCGCAGAUAUCGGGAAGAACACCCGUGGCGAAGGCGGUUCUCUGGGACGGUACUGACGCUGAGACGCGAAAGCGUGGGGAGCGAACAGG
rnacentral:rRNA from 1 species